rnacentral:rRNA from 1 species
CGAGUGCUUGCACUCAAUUGGAAAGAGGAGUGGCGGACGGGUGAGUAACACGUGGGUAACCUACCCAUCAGAGGGGGAUAACACUUGGAAACAGGUGCUAAUACCGCAUAACAGUUUAUGCCGCAUGGCAUAAGAGUGAAAGGCGCUUUCGGGUGUCGCUGAUGGAUGGACCCGCGGUGCAUUAGCUAGUUGGUGAGGUAACGGCUCACCAAGGCCACGAUGCAUAGCCGACCUGAGAGGGUGAUCGGCCACACUGGGACUGAGACACGGCCCAGACUCCUACGGGAGGCAGCAGUAGGGAAUCUUCGGCAAUGGACGAAAGUCUGACCGAGCAACGCCGCGUGAGUGAAGAAGGUUUUCGGAUCGUAAAACUCUGUUGUUAGAGAAGAACAAGGACGUUAGUAACUGAACGUCCCCUGACGGUAUCUAACCAGAAAGCCACGGCUAACUACGUGCCAGCAGCCGCGGUAAUACGUAGGUGGCAAGCGUUGUCCGGAUUUAUUGGGCGUAAAGCGAGCGCAGGCGGUUUCUUAAGUCUGAUGUGAAAGCCCCCGGCUCAACCGGGGAGGGUCAUUGGAAACUGGGAGACUUGAGUGCAGAAGAGGAGAGUGGAAUUCCAUGGGUAAGCCGGGUGA